rnacentral:lncRNA from 1 species
CUAAUUAUAGACUAAUAGUAUAAGGAGAAUUGAAGUCUCAAAUUCUCUGUCCAGCAUUAUUUAAAAGAACACAAAUUUCUUUUCAUUUUCAUCCUCGAAGUUCAAUGACCAGUUUCAAACAUAUUGAAGUUCAAAUUGAAGAACCAAACCCACAAAAAUGGUGUGUUCCACAAAAGAAGAUGUUUUUGUAACUUUCAUGAACAAGGCGAAUUCGACAACUCACUGUGCGAAGCUCCAAUCAGUGCACAGUUGACUGGUCUCAAACAGAGACAGAUUAUCUAUUGAGAGCAGAAAUAUCAAAUACGAGGCUUUCAGAGAUCAAUUAACGAGGCAAGGGCAUUGCGGAGUACGAAAUUAUAUGGAUUGAGGUAAGUAACAGUUAUAAAUCGGGUCUUGAGGAUAUGAAACUCCGGAUCUUUUUGUGUCAUGUGAUUAUUUUGGAGGUGACGCAUAUGCUAGGUGACGGGCGUGUGGGCGUGCACCUAGGGGAUUGUGACUUGGUCCGUCCUGUGAAACUGUAAAGUUAAAUAACUUGUUGUUAACUAUAUGCUCUCUAUGUGUUGUAGAAAUUUGACUGUAAAUCAUAUUAGAAAUCAUGUUUAGAUUAUGUGUUGGCACUGUAGGGACCCACAAAGGUCGUGCACAUGUUGAAUUAUCUGCUAAAUUAUUAUUUUGUACUCAGUCACAGUUUACUUGUUAUUUUAUCUCAGUCUCUAUUGUUCAUUAUUGAUGCAUCGUAUCAUUGUUGUUUGGGCUGAUUUCAUGAUUUUUGAGAAUCCGAGAGACUGGAGAGAUUUAUGACUGAGUGAGGCCGAAGGCUAAUUGUGAGAUAUUAUACUAUAGCACGUGAGUUGUCCGUGCGGAUCCAGAUAUUAUACUAUAGCACAUGAGUUGUCUGUGCAGAUCCAGAUAUUAAUACUAUAGCAUGCGAGUUGUCCGUACAACACGUGAGUUGUCCGUGCGGAUUAUAGCGCUUGGGCUGUAGGAGCCCUUCCGGAGUCUGUACACCCCCAGUGAGCGCGGGUACCCAUUGAGUGUGAGUGCUGAGGACUGAGAGCCGAGUGGUUGAGCUGUUGUGACGAGUUGAGUGACUGUUGCCCUGAGAGGCUGUACUUGAUUAUCAUUUGUUGAUGCACUUAGUUGCUAUCUGUCAUUGUUGUGAAAUUUCUGAAAGGUUCUAUAUCCAGAGUACCUGAACUUUAACUGUAUAAAACUAAUUUGACUUAAACUGCCAGAAUUUAAAAUAUGUCUAUUCUUUGCUGGGAUUAUUGAAAAUGAACUGUAUCUGUAUAGCUCGUCACUAGCUUCUCAGUUCCUUAUUUAUUAUUGUUACUUAUUGAGUUGGUUGUACUCAUACUACACCCUGCACUUCGUGUACAGAUCCAGGUAUUUCCGGACAUAGCGGGUUUUGAUUUUUCAGCACGGUUAAGUUUUUGGAGAUUCAGAGGUAGCUGUCGUGUUUCGCAGACCUUGACUCUCCUUCCCUAUCUCCGUAUUUACUGUAUUUGGUCCCAGGCUAUUAUAGACCGUAUUUUCCACACUUGUAUUCAUAUUAGAUGCUCAUGUACUCAGUGACACCGGGUUUUUGGAGUAUUUAUAUUUGUACUUGUG